CUCAGUUGGCAAAGCACUCAGGCCGGGAUUCGUUCAAAUCCUGCCAGUUCCGAAAAUGAUAAGGCAUGCAUGCAUUUAUAAUUUAUAUUUCUACCAUAAAUAAACUGAUACGAUUUAUUACAUAAAAGAUUUUAUAGAGUCAGUGCGUGCAACUAUUAAAAUUGAACGGGUCCGAGCAGACGCAAAUCUUGUUUAUUUUUCUUAUAAACUUAUGAUUGGAGGAAAAUCUCACUAGUGCAAUCGCCAACUUUGCCUUAUUAUACCAUCGCACGAUGUCGGAAUUUCACGGGCUUUACUUUACAUUGGGAUAGCAUGGAUACGACAUGCGAUUAAAAAUUAGUAAGUAACGUUUUCCUCCGUUGGCGUCUACUCGAGUCGCGUAUGAAGGGCAUGCGAGGAACACGCCUUAUAAAUCCUGUAUCCGUUCACCUGAAGCGUAUACGUACACCGGCAACUACGCCAAUCAGACCGGAACACAAUGCUGCUUGG